AUGAUUUAUAAACCAGGCCUUUGCCUUGAGAUCUGAAAUUCCCCAGAGCAGCAUGGGCAUCAAGAUGAAGUCACAGACUCAGGUGUCCAUAUUCCUGUUGCUCUGGUUGUCUGGUGUUGAUGGAGACAUUGUGAUGACCCAGUCUCACAAAACCUUGUCCACAUCAGUAGGAGACAGGGUCACCAUCAGCUGCAAGGCUAGUCAGAAUGUGGGUACUGCUGUAGCCUGGUAUCAACAGAAUCCAGGGCAUUCUCCUAAACUGCUGAUAGCCGGGGCAUCCAACCGUUUCACUGGGGUCCCUGAUCGCUUCACAGGAAGUGGAUCUGGGACAGAUUUUACUCUCACCAUCAGCAGUGUGCAGGCAGAAGACCUGGCAGUUUAUUACUGCCAGCAGUAUAGCAGCUAUCCUCCCACAGUGCUUCAGCCUCCUACACAAACCUCCUCUGAGAUUCUAACCAGCUGGCUGCACCACACAUCCACAGACCUACACACUUCCCCUCUGCCUGCAGCUGCUAAGCCUAACUGUUGCAAAGUUUGAAAAAACAUUAAUGAA